GCCCAUAUAUGUCUCAGCCUGGCAAACAACCAUGUGCAUUUGUCCAUUUUCUCCCUCACUUAACUCACUCGCUAGCACCGAAAAAAACAUAAAACAAAAAAAUUCAUGAGCGGGAGGGUGCAAAACAUUGUCAACAUCAUUAGAAGCAACAAAGGAGAGAAUGCGGUAAAAUAAGUUGUGCAGCUGGGCAGGGUGAGCGGCUUCAGGGCAUCUGGUUUUCAGCAUGGAUGCACUUUGUUCCGCUUGUUCUUGUGAGGUCAAAUACUGUAGACAUAAUAUUUUGAUGUCAGCUUGGUUUCUAUCACGUUUGUGGCCUUUAUUUACUUAAUUAUGCGAACACAUUUGCUUCAGUUAAUUAAAAGUCUCCACCGCAUUCAUAUUAUUGUUUUCGCACAGAGGUUUUCUUUUCUUUACUUAUUUUCCUCAAUCUUUGGCCUUAUUAAACCCUUUUUAACACUUUAUUUGAGCCAUUAAAAAACACAAUAAGCAUAGAAACCAAGCUAAGCAACUUUUUUCAUGAAAAGCAGCAUUUUGGAGACUUAAUAUUUCUCUGAAAUCACAUGAAAUGAAUUGGAAAUUGUGAUGUAAGUCAUUGUCAUUUUCUGAAAACAUGAGUGAAGAUAUGGGAAUGUUAUCAGAGACAGGGUUGCAGAGGGAGCUGCUCUAACUGAAUGAUUUGUUUUUUUAAAGACCCGGGGAUGCACAUUUAGAAAAAAGUCAGAUAUUGAUUAUAAAAUGCUCCUCAUGUCUGCCUGAGGCUAGCGGCUCAAUGCUACAUUAGCUUCCAGACACCAAACACACCAGAAUCUCCGACCCGGUUCAGUGGCGGACUGACCAUUUGGAGCAUUCGAUUCAUUCCUGGCUGAAUACCUCUCCUCGAUAGUCACUGUAUGAGCCUUUAAACGUAUUUAGAAAUUGUUGAUUUCUGUGCAAAAAGAAGGGAAUCCUGCACCUGAUGUAAGGUGGUCUUUUUAUUCACUACAUUUGCUCUCUUCGCUGUGGUUUUAUCUUCUUUGGUUUUCCUUUGAGCAACUCAUCUAUAACGGUUAGGCCUGGAGGUCAGGCUUGUGCUCAUGGCACUAAAGCAUCAAAGCAUCGUUUUUCAGGCCAAGGUCCCCCAAACUGAUGGCGAGAUGGAGCAGGGACCCCUUAUUCUACAGAGUUUGGUCCCCCAUCUUUUAUUUUUGAGCUUCGCGCUCUUUAGACGUGAGCAUGAACGCGAUCCGAUUGGCUGGUGCCUGUGCUGUCGUAUUAGCAUGAAAGGUGCCGUGAGUGAAGACGGACGGGGAGACAGAGAGGGAGAAUGAAUGAGAGAGAGCGAGAGCAAUCACAGACUAGGAGAAAGUGUUAAAAGAGUGAGCCGGAGAGAAAAAAAGGAGUGUGCUACUUUUCAGCCAAAUGUCCGAUAAGGCUCACGGCACACUGAGCCUCCUCUCGUCCGUCUCUCUCAUCUUCAGCCAACUAAUCACAAGACCGGACCCCUUUGAUCCCACCGGCAGCCUGAAACACUGAUAGCUGUGUGUUACACUAAAGUCUGUGCUCGUGCUUGUGUGUGUGUGUGUGUGCACGUGGAUACUAUACGUGGCCAGUGUUUAUGCGACCGUCCGUGCAACAGGAAUAGUGUGCGUUGUAUUUCCGAACAUGCGUCUGCAUUAGUGUGUGUCUGCGUAGGACCCUGUGUAGGUGCAUGUACGUGUGUGUGCGGCCGUGACCACCUGCUGAGUCUGGCCGCUCACAUUGCACUCCACGAGACUCACAUCAGUCCCGGCGGAACUUUCCGGUUGCCUUACCUCUUGCCCCUCAUACAAAUGUUAGCUAUAAAUGUGUGUAUUUGUGACAUUUUUACAAGACACACAGCCGUAUUUUAUUUCUCCUUUCUUUUUAUUGAACAGAACACACACAUAAAACUUAUACCGACUCCAUUUAAUGUCUUCUGGUGAAUCUAUUAUUUCACUUUUUGUUGAAAGUUAAGUGCUUUUACUCCUGUAAAUGUAUUUGUACACCUUUUGGACUAAACGCUCAACGGCAAUUGUCCCAUUUAGCGCGGGUGUCAAUCACUUUGUCCCUGCUCGUCCUUCAGAGUGCAUGUCAGCAGGAGCUGGACAGCGUCUUGGAGGAGAUCUCCAAAAUCACCUCUCAGGAUAACAGAGGCCCACUGGAGGACCUGUACGUACUGAAACUCCCAAACUGUGACAAACACGGCCUGUACAACCUCAAACAGUGCAACAUGUCCACCCACGGCCAGCGGGGCGAGUGCUGGUGCGUCAACCCGUUUACCGGGGUCCAGAUUCCAACGACGCCUAAAGUAAGAGGGGAUCCCAACUGUAACCAGUGGCAGGAGGAGAUGAGAGAGCUGCCCACUGCAGCAGCGUUCCACUAGCACUGUCCGGGACGCCCUUUGAAUGGGUUGGGUUUCCUUUACAAUUCCAACUGUGGCGGGAUUUGUAAAAGAUGUUGCAAUGUAUGAAGGCUUUCUCUCAUUUUUUUGUUGUUGUUAUCACUAGGUUAACAUAUUGUUACUGUCAGGCUAUCUAGACCACAGCCAAUAGUGUGUCCAUCCCUCAGUGCCCUUCCCUCUGCGAGACAAAACACUGUUUUGUUUUCUUUUAAUUAAUGCACUGAAAUAACAGGGUACGGGAGUUUUCGGCAAGUAUUUAUUAAACCGGAGGAGAUUUGGGUUUAUUUGUUUAGAACUAUUUUUAGCUAUGGCCUAAUACACAUUUGGUAGGUAUUUAUAGAUUCAUGGCAGCAGGACAGUUUAUGUGCCAUUUAGUCCAACUAGCGCGCUUGUUGUUUUUGUAAUAAACAAACGUGCCAACCAGUGCAUUUAUAGAGGAAAAAGUUCUAUCAUGCCUUGGCUAUGCAGGCAGUACUUGCCAGGAUCUUUUCAUUGUUGCUUUCGGCCAUAUCACUGGAAUUGUUGACAAUAAAAAAAUACAAAUAGAAGUUUAUCAGCCUUAUCUUUUAAAGCUGCAUUGAUUAAUAGUUUGGGCCACUUGGGGGCAGCAGAACAAGCUGUAAAAGAUGACAUUUGUAAUUUGUUAUUAUUUCAGCUAUAUUAGCAUUCCUCUUGAGCUGUGUGUUUUACCCCCUGACAAAAGUUAAUCCAAUGUUGACUGUUUCGUUUUUACUUCCUUUGAAUCUCUACCAACUCCAUCGAAAGAGAUACGUCUCUUUAGCUGCUAAAGGGUUUCCUUCAUAAGCCGCUUCGCCCAGCUAGCAUACACUGGCUUCAGUGGGUACUGUGGGAUGGUUAAUGGGAGACCUGACAAUGAACAAAACAAUGAAGAAUCCUCUUAGGAGAUGAGAAAAUCUAAAUUGCCUUUGGUUUUGUGUCAAAUGAUUAUUAUUGCAUUCAAAGGACUUGUAUACUCUGCAACAGUUUGGCUAAGCUGAAGAUAAAGAUUUACAGGUGCUCCAUGAAAUCCUUCAUAUGUAUGUGCACACUGUUCAGAAAUCACUUUUGUGACAACUUUUUUUGUUAAAUAAUUGAAUCAAGAAGGUAAUUAAAAGUUCACUGUAUCAGUAUCACUGUCAUACUUGUCAUACAGUGUCAUGUCAUACAUUUUGUAAUGUUCCUUCAUCGUCAUUCAUUCCUACAUCGUUUGCUGUAAAUUAAAUUGAACUUUUCUCAGACAAUCUCAACUCAGGGUUUCUAACGCGACACCAUAUCCUCGUGUUGCCAUAAACCCACCCAUCAGUUUGGUUUGCUGCAGAGAGCUAUCCUUGUUAUUUGUCAGCAGUUUUUCCAUCAACACUUGUCAACUCCAAAUAACUGUGACUUAAAAAAAGGGCACUUGUGGUAAUAACGCUUGAACCUGGCGUGGAGCUUCAGUAUUUUUAUUACUGCUAUGUGCAGAGACAUGCAUGUGUGUGCAUGAGCACAUAUGUGCAAGUGUGUGUGUGUGUGUGUGUGUGUGUGUGUGUGUGUGUGUGUGUGUGUGUGUGUGUGUGUACCCAUGUGUUGCUAGGGUUACUAAUGAAGUGUUGAGAAGAGGAGGGCUUAGGAUGAGCGGCUGACAUUGACAAACGUGACACUAAGCGGGGAGAGGUGUCUAUGAAUAAACCAAGUAUGCAAAUGCACACACACACACACGUAUUUCUGUUGCAGAUCACGGUCUAUAGAUGGGUAACUCACCAAGGGAAGUGAGGGUGCUAUUAAUGAUUCUGAAUGCCCAAGACAAAACUAGAUACCGUGACAACGUGUUUAACUUUGUGCAGUAUUGUCUCACUUUUACAGGAAGUGCUGGAACAAUUCUGUCAUCCUGAGACUGUAAACCAUCCGCUGAUCUGGUCCGUUUGACAGUGAGUGAUGUGGGUUGAUUCUUCAGAAGAUACAGCGUCAUCAGAAAGUUGUGUUGCAUGUGUUCUUAUCGCAAUAAAGAUUACGGAGGAUGUGCUCUUGUAAAACUGAAUCCCAAAUUGGUCCCGAUGUGCAGGCAGCACUAUGUAUGUGGACUCUGCCACCAGUGUGUGAAUGUGUGUAAAUGCAUGAAUGAUGACAUGCAGUUUACAAUUGCUUUGGACAAUGAAACGACUAGAAAGACGCAAUACAAAUUUAACAUCAAACAAAUACAUGUGAAUACAUCUCUGAGGUCAAACUGUUUCUCAAGUCAGAUUUGUAUAGAACUCAUAUGUACAUAACAUAAAUAGUUAUAAGUCCCUCUAGCUUUCAAUCCUCUCCACACUGGAGUGAAAUUCUGAGCGAGAAUACACUGUAAAAAAUGAGACAAAUCCCACAGGUUUAGGCGUUAUCUUUUGGGCGAAGUAUUUUUAUUAUUAUUUUGAUCUAUUUCUUUAAUGUAGCCUUUUGAAAUGCAUUUUUUUAUCUGGAUCAUCCCCGCCCCCCCAUCUGGUCACAUUAGGAAACAUUUGGCCCACAACCUUCGAAAUGUACAUAUAACAUGUGAGUAUUGUUUUGAGGCAGACUUGGAAAUAAACAUUGUAAAAAGGUCAAUUCAUUUUUUAGAUUAUUUUCAUUGAGACUGACUAAUUAAGAUUGAUUCAUUAUCAUCAUUGAUGUUCAGGCAACAGUUAGGACUUGUAAAAUGUGUAUAUGCUAUGCAGCCUAUUACAUCCAACCCAGGGCUUUAAAAAAUCCCCAAUCCACAAAAGUAGCCAUCUACAGUAUUUGCAAUCAAAUAAUUCAAGACUUGGGUGCAGAGAAAGGCCUCUUUGAAGUUCUGGCCAAAAGUGUAUCAUAUGAGACCAGACCUGACCGGCUGUGGCCUUGUAACCUUAUACAUGGGCCUGUGUGCCAGUUAGCUGAGCACGAGUUCAAGAAAUGCUCUUUAAUGAGAACUUUACAGCACUGUUCACGUUUUGUGACACAGUUUUCUGUCAAUUUGUUUUCUGUUGUUUUUUGGGGGCGUUUUGGCAGUCAGGUUGCUUUAAAAAUGUGACGCCCUGGUCUGGUGUCACACGCGGAUCUCGGGUGUCCUUGGGUUGUUUAGCACAUUUGAGGCUAUUUUGCAGCUUCUAGCUGGCCUUUUCUGAAAACAAAUCAAAACAAGUGUCUUUUGUUUUGGGUUUGAUAGAUUGGGCACAAUGGGCUGAGGAGGGUAGUUUAGCAGUGGGAAUAAAAGUGGGGGUGAGUAUGUGUGUGCUUGCG
ensembl:lncRNA